UCACUUUGGCAGUGCAUGUGCUAAAAUUGGACUGGUUCAAUUAGCAUGGGCCCUGCGCACAAAUGACAUGCAAAUUCAUGAAAUAUUCCAUAUCUUU
rnacentral:snRNA from 1 species